rnacentral:lncRNA from 10 species
AAGAGAAGACCAUAAAGCAACCUAAAAACAAACAACAAAAUGGCAAGAAUAAUUCCUUACUCAUCAAUAACAUGGAAUGUAAAUGGACUAAACUUUCCAGUCAAAAGACAGAGUAGCAAAAUGGAUUUUUAAAAAUGAGACUCAAUGAUCUGUUGUCUUCAAGAAACACACUUCACAUAUGAAGAUACACAGACUGAAAAUAAAGGGACAGAAAAAAAUAUUCCAUGCCAAAUGAAACAAACAAACAAAAGAAAAACCAGGAGUCACUAUAAUUAUAUCAGACAAAAUAGACUUCAAGACAAAAACUAUAAGAAGAGACUAAGAAGACUGCUAUACAAUGAUAAAAGGGUCAAUUCAGCAAGAGCAUAUAACAAUUUUAAAUAUAUAUGCACCCAAUACUAGAGCACCCAAAUAUAUAAAAGCAAAUAUUUUUGAGCAAAAGAGAGAGAUAAACCCCAAUACAAUAAUAGCUGGAGACUUCAACAUUGGACAGAUCACCCAGACAGAAAAUCAACGAAGAAAUAUUGGACAUGGCUGGGUGCGGUGGCUCAUGCCUGUAAUCCCAGCACUUUGGGAGGCUGAGAUGGGCAGAUCACCUGAGGUUGGGAGUUUGAAACUAGUCUGACCAACAUGGAGAAACCCCAUCUCUACUAAAAAUACAAAAAUUAGCUGGUCAUGGUGGUGCACGCCUGUAAUCCCAACUACUUGGGAGGCUGAGGCAGGAGAAUCGCUUGAACCUGGGAGGCGGAGGUUGCAGUGAGCCAAGAUUGCGCCAUUGCACUCCAGCCUAGGUAAUAAGAGCAAAACUUCAUCUCAAAAAAAAAGAAAAAGAAAAAAAGAAAUGUUGGACUUAAUCUGCACUACAGACCAAACUGACCUGCCGGUAUUUACAGAACAUGUGAUCCAACGGCUGCAGAAUACACAUUCUUCUCAGCACAUGGAUCAUUCUCAAGGAGAGACCAUAUAUUAGGCCACAAAACAAGUCUUAAAAAAUUCAAAAAUAAAAAAAAAAAAAAAAGAAAUGAUGUCAAGUAUCUUCUGUGACCACAAUGGAAUAAAACUAGAAAUCAGUAACUGGAGGAAUUUUGGAAACUACACAAAUACAUGGAAACUAAACAAUAGGCUCCUGAAUGACCAGUGAGUCAAUGAAGAAAUUAAGAAGAAAACUGAAAAAUUUAUUGAAACAAAUGAAAAUGGAAACACACCAAUCCUAUAGGAUAUAGCGAAAACAGUAUAAUAAAAGAAAAGUCUAUAGCCAUAAAAGCCUACAUCAAAAAAGUAGAAAAACUUCAAAUAACCUAACAAUGUAUCUUGGAAAACUAGAAAUGCAGGAGCAAACCAAACCCAAAAUUAGUACAAGAAAAGAGAUAAUAAACAUCAGAGCAGAAACAAAUAAAAUUUAAAUUAAACAUGCAAAGGAUAGGCUGGGCGCAGUGGCUCACGCCUGUAAUCCCAGCACUUUGGGAGGCUGAGGCCAGCGGAUCACAAGGUCAGGAGAUCGAGACCAUCCUGGCCAAUAUGGUGAAACCCCAUCUCUACUAAAAAUGCAAAAAAUUAGCUGGGCAUGGUGGCACGUGCCUGUAGUCCCAGCUGCUUGGGAGGCUGAGGCAGAAGAACAGCUUAAAUCUGGGAGGCAGAGGUUGCAGUGAGCCAAGAUCAUGCCACUGCACUCCAGCCUGGGCAACAGAGCAAGCCUCUGUCUCAAAAAAAAGAAAAAAAACUACAAAAAUUAGCUGAGUGUGGUGGCACAUGCCUGAAAUCCCAGCUACUCAGGAGGCAGAGGCAGGAGAAUUGCUUGAUCCCUGGAAGGGGAGAUUGCAGUGAGCUGAGGUCGUGCCACUGCACUCCAGUCUGGCAACAGAGUGAGACUCCAUCUCAAAAAAAAAAAAAAGGAAAAGAUUAAUGAAAUGAAAAGUUAGUUUUUUGCAAAGAUAAAAUUGACAAACCUUUACUCCAACUAAGAAAAAGGAAGAUUCAAAUAAAUAAAAUCAGAGAUGAAAAAGGAGACGUUAGAACUGUUACCACAGAAAUACAAAGGAUCAUUAGAAGCUACCAUGAGAAACUAUAUGCCAACACAUCGGAACACCAAGAAGAAACGGAGAAAUUCUUAAACACACACAACCUCUCAAGAUUGAACUACGAAGAAAUAGAAAAUGUGAACAAACCAAUAACAAGUAACGAGAUUGACACCAUAACAAAAAGUCUUCAGCAAAGAAAAGCCUGGGCCCUGAUCGCUUGCCUGCUGAAUUUGACCAAACAUUUAUAGAAGAACUAAUACCAAUCCUACUGAAACCAUUCUGAAAAAUAGAGGAGGAGGGAAUAUUUCCAAACUUGUUCUACAAGGCCACUAUUACCCUGAUACCAAAACCAGAGAAGACACAUCAAAAAAAAAGAAAACUACAGGCCAAUAUCCUUGACAAAUGUUGAUGCAAAAAUCCUCAAUAAAAUAGUAGCAAGCCAAACUCAACAACACAUUAUAAAGAUCAUUCAUCAUGACCAAGCGGGAUUUAUGCCAGGGAUGCCAGCAUGGUUAAACACAUGCAUAUCAGUCAAUGUGAUGCAUCAUAUCAACAGAAGGUAAAACAAAAACCAUGUGAUCACUUCAAUUGAUGCUGAAAAAGAAUUUUAUAAAAUUCAACAUCCCUUCAUGAUGAAAACCCUCCAAAUGAUGAGGAUAGCUGGGCACAGUGGUGCAUGCCUGUAGUCCCAGCUACUCAGGACACUGAGGCAAGAGAAUGGCUCGAGCCCAGGCGUUCUGGGUUGUAAUGCACUAUACUGACUGGGUAUCUGCACUAAGUUCAGCAUCAAUAUGGUAAUCUCCCAGGAGCGGGGAACCACCAGGUUGCCUAAGGAAGAGUGAACUGGCUCAGGUCAGAAAAAGAGCCAGUCAAAACUCCUGUGUCGAUCAGCAGGGAGAUCGCGCCUGUGAAUAGCCACUGCACUACGAUCCGUUGUCUACAACAAGCACACUUCACAUAUGAUGAUACAUAGACUGAAAAUAAAGGGACAGAAAAAAAUAUUCCAUGUCAAAUGAAACAAACCAACAAACAAAAAACAGGAGUCACUAUACUUAUAUCAGACAAAAUAGACUUCAAGACAAAAACUAUACAGCCUGGCAACAAAGUGAGACUCCAUAUUUAAAAUCACUAACAAAAUAAAAAUAAACUUUUUUAAAAAAACACUGAGUAUAGAAGGAACAUACCUCAACACAAUGAAAGCCAUAUAUGACAGACCUACAGCUAGUAUCAUACUUGUGUUAGUCCGUUUUUGUACGACUAUAAAGAAAUAUCUGAGACUGAGUAAUUCAUAAAGAAAAGAACUUUAAUUGGCUCAUGGUGCUGUACAGGACACAUGACGCUGGCAUUUUCUUGUCUUAUGGGGAGGCUUUAGGAAACUUAAAAUCAUGGCAGAAGGCAACGGGGGAACAAGCACUUCACAUUGUCAGAGCAGGAGAAAGAGAGAGAGGCAGGGAGGUACCACAAACUUUUAAACAACCAGAUCUCAUGAGAACUCACUCACUGUCAUGAGACCAUCACCAAGGGGAAAUCCACCCCCAUGAUCCAGUCAUCUCCCACCAGGCCCCACCUCCAACACUGGGGAUUAGAAUUAGACACAAGAUUUGGGCAGGGACACAGAUCCAACCCAUAUCAAUACUGAAUCGGAAAAACUGGAAGCCUUUCCUCUAAGAUCUGAAACAAGGCAAGGAUACACACUUUCACCUCUGUUAUCCAACACAGUAGUGGAAAACCUACCUAGAGCAACUGGAUACAAGAGAGAAAUGAAAAGUACUCAAACUGGAAAGGAAAAAAUUACAUUAUCCUUGUUUGCAGAUGAUAUGAGCUUAUACUUGAAAAAAAAACCUAAAGACUCCAACAGAAACCUAUUAGAAUUGAUCAACAAAUUCAUUAAAGUUGCAGGACACAAAAUCAACAUACAAAAAUCAGUAGCGCUUCUGUAUGUCAAAAGUGAACAAUGUGAAAAAGAAAUAAAAAAAGUAAUCCAAUUUACAACAGCUACAAAUAAAAUAAUAUAUAUAAGAAUAAACUUAACCAAAGAAGGGAAAGACCCCUACAAUGAAAACUAUAAAACACUGAUGGAGGAAAUUGAAGAGGAUGCUAAAAAAUGGAAAGAUAUUCCAUAUUU